UUCAGUCGGGUACAGUCAACUGGAUCUCCAUCUGUGGUUAUUCUGAGUGAAGGGAUGAAUCACUGAACGGCAGGUGUUUGAUCAGCAAACGGCAAAAGUGGUGUUUUACCUGCAGCACAGACCUGUCGUGGAUUAAGAUGACACAUGUGAAGCGGUUUCAAGGAAUCCCCAUGUCAAAGUCCAUGAGGGGUCUGUGCAAAGAGGAAGACUAUGCAUUUCUGGGAAUGUCAGGAAAGAGGUCAAAAGAAGCGGUAGAAGCAGCCGGGGCUUUUGAGGAUGACGGCAGUAUGAGAAAGGAGGAGCGG